GUUCUAGAGACUAAGAAGAGCAAAAUCACAGCACCAGCAUUUGGGAAGGCCUUCACAGUGCAUCAAAACAUGGUGCAAAGACAAGCUCUUACCAGUCUUCCUGAAAAAUACACAGACUUCUCUCCUGAUGAACCCAGUUUCCUAAUCAACUAAGAUAUCAACCUCUCCCAUUGGUUAUAUUGAUAUGAAGAUGGCUUUUCUCCAGCAAAGUAGGUCUUAAAGCAAUUCUAGUGAGGUCUAAAAAGAUGAAUUAUUUAGACACAGCCAGUAUAGAAGACAUUGCUGCUCUUGAUUUCCCUUGGAAGCGUCCUUCUGUACCACAGUUUGAAGUGCACUUAUCCCAGCAGAAACGGUUAAAUCUAUCUCGAG
ensembl:lncRNA